rnacentral:lncRNA from 1 species
UAUGUCUCACACUAGUAGCAUAAAUAAGAUAUUCGAUGUAACUGGUGGAGGGAUAAGGCUAAUAAAAGUGUUGUUAAGACCCCUAGAAGAAACCCUGUUAGCCAGCUUGGGAGUCUUUUCCCAAAGCAAUAGUUCAUUUUAAGUUGUUUGUUUGUUUUGUUUGUUUGUGUGUUUUGUUUGUUUUUCCAGUGCUUGAAACAGGGACUCUGCCUCUUCUGGGAACUUUGAAAACAACUGCUGAGGGUAUUUCUACAGUUCUUGACAGUGAGCAAACAUCCCAAACAUUCUGUGGUUAUGGAUACUACAUUCCUAAUGUUCCCAGCAUUUUUGCUAUAUUCAUAGCAGAGAAAGGUAGGAAGUACUGUACAACAGAGAUUAUCCUAGUAUGAAUGACAGUUUAAUAGAGAUCCUGUUUAGUAGGUUAUUUUUUCCCUCCUUUCUUUCCAGACUACCUGGUUCUAAUACUUAAAACAUUUCGGUGGCAUCUGAAGUAAUUGCUAUUGGGAAAAUAAUAUUAAAUGAGCUUUUUUGUUUGUCUGUUUGUUUUUCCCAGGUUUUGUGUACAGACAGCAGCCUGAGGAAAUCUGUGGGAAUCAGGAGUACCCAGAGCCUUUUAAAAUCAAGUUUUCAAUGUCUUUCACUGGUUGUCACUGACAUUUAGCAGCUGGAAAUCUUGACUGGCAACUCUUUGAGUGGUCACAGGUUAUAGAAAACUAAUUGAGAACUUUAUCUACAUAGAACCUUCCAUUUAUCACUAUAACACAAUAUUUCCUCUUUUUAUUUCUUUAAGGAUAGGUUUUAUCUGCCUCUUGAUGUUAACUAGAGUUGUAGUGGUAUGCAAGUUGCUCUUCUGGUAUUAAGACAAAUGAGAGAACCAGAAUUUGUUUUUAACAUUGUUCUCUUUGCAGAAACAUUAUAUAACGAGUGUUGAAAUUAAAGUAAUAAAAUUCUCUCAAAUACUUUCA